GGGGAAGAGGGAGGGAAUGAAGUAGCAAGGGAGGGACGAAAGGAGGCAGUGGGAGGAGAACGCUUGGAGGAAAAAGGAGAAGAGAGAAACAGAUGCAAGUAACUCAGGCCGGCAAACUAGAUGCACACAGGAACCCGAAGAAGAUACAGGCUCUUUUUGUAGAUGACUGCAGAAUUCAGAGGGUGGUGAGCUCAAACCCAAAGGAAAGAUGUCAUGGCGGCCGACCUACCGGAGCUCCAAGUUUCGAAACGUCUAUGGCAAAGUGGCCAACCGUGAGCACUGCUUCGAGGGCAUCCCGAUCACGAAGAAUGUCCAUGACAAUCACUUCUGCGCGGUCAACUCCAAGUUCCUCGCCAUAGUAACGGAGAGCGCGGGAGGAGGAUCUUUCGUCGUUAUCCCGGUCACUCAGACAGAGCAAAAGCCUGACUGUUGAGCAGAGCGCAGAUACUUUUCCUUUGAUCUCUGGCUUUAAUGCUGUAAAAUGGAGAAGCACUGGAAGCUGUAAACUCCUGGUCACAGACACUGAUAUAACAGUAGUGUGAACUAAUCGAUGUGGACAUCAAUGUGCUCUGGUUGGAACAGCUUUAUAUGUCUGCUUCAUAAGAAAAGAUAGAAGACCGGGGUUCUGCAGAUUAAAGUGAUAGUUUAUCCAAAAAUGAUUAUUAUGUCAUGAUUUACUCACCCUCACACCCUCAUGUUUUGUUUCAAACCUCUAUGACUUUCUUUGUACUUUUCAAAAGAUAUUUUAAAGUCUGUUGGUAACCAAACAGUCACCAUUGACCUCUAUUGUAUGGCAAAAAAAUCAAAUCAAAACAUUGAGACAUUCCUCAAAAUGUCUUCUUUUAUGUUUAUACAGAAAAAAAUAAAUCCAUGAUAACCAUUUUUUCAGAAAGCUUUCCCUUUUUGUAACAAUGUUACUGACUUCUAAAGAUGCAAAAUGCAAAGUUAGUCAAUUUAAAUGUGACUCCAAAUUCCACCUCCACAGCAAUUGGCCAGACUGCACGGAAAGCACAGACAGAAAGAGAAUGACUCACACACCAUUUAUCAUUGACAUGACAAUGAGAUUUCGGCGCACAGCUUCUGAUGUCCCAUUCUUCUCUUCAGUCAUCUCCGCUCUUUAUUUUGUCUAUUCUUCUGUCCCUCCUCUUGAGCACAUCCGGUCAUGCUACACUGC